rnacentral:rRNA from 15 species
CAGGUCUCUUCCCUCUCACGGAACUUGCAUGUCUUCCAGAAGUGCCGCACAUUCUGGUUUGAGUGGGAUAACAU